rnacentral:misc_RNA from 1 species
AUCUAACAGAAUCAUCAAGUGAACCGCCCAGAUCUCACCGUUACAGGUGGGGAAAGACUUUACAGGAAAAUUUUCAAUGUUGAGUGGAAAAAAUUGCUGAGACAAUAAUGAGAAGAUAUCAAACAGAUUAGAUCUAACAAAAAACUGAAAAAUUCUUGGUCUGAACCCCAAACCCACAUCAUAAAACUAAAUAAACACCCAAACCCAUACAAAAGAGUUUAAGUUUCAGAGUUCCACCGAACCAAAAAUAAGGAAAAACAGCACACAGACACAAACCCAUAAGAGAAAAAAAGUCACACAAAUGAAAGAGGUAAGAAAAAAAUAAAGGAAACUGAAGAAUCGAGCUGAAAUAAGAAUUU